GACGAACGCUGGCGGCGUGCUUAACACAUGCAAGUCGAACGGAAAGGCCCUGCUUUUGUGGGGUGCUCGAGUGGCGAACGGGUGAGUAACACGUGAGUAACCUGCCCUUGACUUUGGGAUAACUUCAGGAAACUGGGGCUAAUACCGGAUAGGAGCUCCUGCUGCAUGGUGGGGGUUGGAAAGUUUCGGCGGUUGGGGAUGGACUCGCGGCUUAUCAGCUUGUUGGUGGGGUAGUGGCUUACCAAGGCUUUGACGGGUAGCCGGCCUGAGAGGGUGACCGGCCACAUUGGGACUGAGAUACGGCCCAGACUCCUACGGGAGGCAGCAGUGGGGAAUAUUGCACAAUGGGCGGAGGCCUGAUGCAGCAACGCCGCGUGCGGGAUGACGGCCUUCGGGUUGUAAACCGCUUUCGCCUGUGACGGAGCGUGAGUGACGGUAAUGGGUAAAGAAGCACCGGCUAACUACGUG
rnacentral:rRNA from 1 species